UGACAGAAAACCAACUUGAAUAAGCUUAAGAAGAAAAUGGAGUUCAUUAAUUUUUUUAACUGGGAAGGACAGGGCAAAUCUCAGACAGGCCAGGAUCCAGAGACUCAAAUGGAAAACCUGGCAUGUGUCAAGAAUAAAUUGUGGUGGAAGGAAGAAGUAAAAGACCAGUUUGGAGGCUAUUAAAAUAAUCCAGGCAAGAGAUGAUAAUGACUACGUCUACACAAUGGAAUACUACACUGCUGUAAAAAAAA